CGGCCCGAAAUUAGUCAGCUGAAGUGAUCGGUUUCUCCAAAACACUGCAAACACAGAGACAGAGGUCGACCUUCGAGUCAGGUUGUUUAGGAAUGCAGCCCAAAUUGGGUGGCAAACUCCAUCCGACAGCGAACAAGUACCGUGAGGGAAAGUUGAAAAGCACUUUGAAGAGAGAGUAAACAGUACGUGAGUCCGCAUAGAGGUAAACGGGUGUCGUCAAGCUGCAAAAGAAUAGGCAGCUGACAAUUGAAAGGAAAAAACAAAGAACCGUUUUCUCAGGUUAAGCAUUUGCGAUUGUUUCUACAUCAUUAUAAAAACGCUAUCACUGCCGAAAAGCGAUAAGCAUUAUGCCGUAUUAAAAUCCAACCUUAAUUUG
rnacentral:ncRNA from 1 species